GACUUCGCUGAACACAAAUAUUAGUGAUUGAAAACAGUAAAACAUAUCACAGCGAUGAUAUUGUCAGUGAAAGUGACUUUUUUUGCAUUUUUCACACACAAACAGCACUUUUACUGAUGAUAUAAUUGUUGUGAUACGUUUUCCAGUUUUUUAAACACUAAUAUUUGUGUUCAGCGAUGUC
rnacentral:miRNA from 1 species